AUGGAAUUUACAACUAAUUACUUGGUGUUGUAGAUUCCAUGAAGAGAAAGAGAAGAGUUGAAGGAAAGCAACUUCAAGCACACAUGUAUGAGCAUCAAAGCAAAGACCAUCUGGGUAGGUUGGGCUUCUGUUUGAUCUGAAGCAGUAGCCAAGCAUAUAACUAAGGUGAACAAAAAAGAUAGUGAGAAAUUUAAAUCGAAACAUUUAAACUCUUGCCUCUCUUUCAAUCCUUGAAGGGAAUAUUGCUCCUGAUCAUACUCAACAGGAGUAAAGAACAAUCCCUCCGUUAUGGCCCGAUCAUAAAACACCAUCGCUGACCAUCUUUUUCUAUCAUCAUCAUCAUCCUCCAAGUUAUCAUCAAACAUUAGAUGGACUCCACACUUAUGGACUCCCACAUCGAAUGUGAAAUCUCUCAUAGAUUCCAAACCAACAUAGAAUUGAAAUGAGGCCUCCCUGAUACAGAAUUUCUUGGAAUUAAAAUGAAUAGUGGAAUACCAAAGGGAGAUGUGAUGUAUUUUGCCCAAAAAGCAACGGGAA
rnacentral:misc_RNA from 1 species